UACGUAGGGUGCAAGCGUUGUCCGGAAUUAUUGGGCGUAAAGAGCUCGUAGGCGGUUUGUCGCGUCUGCUGUGAAAAACUGGAGGCUCAACCUCCAGCCUGCAGUGGGUACGGGCAGACUAGAGUUCGGUAGGGGGAGAUCGGAAUUCCUGGUGUAGUGGUGAAAUGCGCAGAUAUCAGGAGGAACACCGGUGGCGAAGGCGGAUCUCUGGGCCGAUACUGACGCUGAGGAGCGAAAGCGUGGGGAGCGAACAGG
rnacentral:rRNA from 1 species